GCUUUGCAUCUAUUGGUUCAUCUGGACCCAGCAGUGAUAGGUGCUGUAAUACCCAUCUGAUGAAGAGAAAAAGAAGGUUCAGAAAAUGUUACAUUCUCAGAAUUAUACAAAAUGAAUGGCAAAGCUGGGGUUCCAGAUGGCUGUAGAUAUGAAUUGAGCCCAGCAUAUCCCACAUAGUGGUGAAAAACUUGUGUUGUUGAUAGAAGUCAGAUUUAGUGAAGUGCACUUGGAUGGUAGAGUCUCAUCUGACCUCUGCUACCUAAUCUUUUUGAGGCCAGCUUUUUUGAGACCUUGGCUCUAAAAAAAAAAAAAAAAAAGGUACUGCUUUUACAAAUGACAUGUACUCUGAAAAAUGUAUGUGACUGAUUUUAGUAGAUAUAUAAUUACUGUAAAAUGCAGUAAAUGUUUCCAAAUGUUUGCUUUACAUUUCAAUAGCUUAACUUCCCUGUCGACCAUCACAAGUAUGUAGACCAGCAGUAAAUAUAGUGUGCAGGUCGCACUUGGAGUUACUGCUUUGAAUCUAGGAAAGCCAUGUGCCAGGAAAGCCGUGGACUGAACGGAGGAAUUUUGUACACUUCAAAUGAAGAUUAAAAGUUGUGUGAUCUUCCCUAAAAUGAAAGAGAAAGCCUCAGUUCUUUGUGGGAUGGAGGUAGUAGUCACCAAUCAGGGGCUUGGAGGGCAAUAUUCAUUUCCAGAAAAGAUGGUUUAAAUGCAUAUUCACAUUGCAAGUUGGUGACAGUUUGAAUAUUAAAACCUUAUACCAGGUUUUAAGCAUACCAGGAUUUUGUGAACCGACACAAAAUUGAUGUGAUGAAAGUGAGACUAAAAUUUCAUCACAUUUAUUAGAGAAAACAGCUGCAGGAAAUACUUAGCCAAAUAACAUUAGGACUGUGACACAUUGAUAGUAUUAACUUGUUGGUGUGAUAGUUUUUUUACAGAAUGUUGAGAAGGCUUGAGGUUUUGCAGCUAGCUGUUGGAUUUGUCCUGCUCUUGCAAGGCUUUUCCUUUUUUUUUUUUAAUUUUAUUUUUUACAACUUUCUGCUGUUGGUACAGCAGCUUACUCAAGCACAUUACUGAACAUUUGUGUUUGAACUGACGAUAUUUUUCUCUUCCCUUACUUGCCACUGAUAUUUAAUCUCUUUGAUCUGCUAGUUAGUGGCUUCCACUGCUUACCCAACAGCUGAGGCGUGCUUUCUUAGCUUGACAUCCGAGGCCUUCACAGUCACUGCAGUAUACCAUCCAAACUCACCCCACUUUCAGGGACUUUGGAUAUGAUCUUCUAGAGAGUAAACAUAACACCAUCCUAUGGUUUUAUUCUUCCUUAAGGUCUACCCUUGUGUAAUGCACUUAUUAUUUUAUUCUGUGACCUUUCAAGGGCAGGCUGUCAAUUAGGCUAAAAUGUGUUAGAUUAUUUUGAGAGUAGCCAUCUAUUAAGUUAGCCUUUACUUUUUGUCCAAAUGAUUCACUUUACUUUAAAACAACUUUUAUGAAUUACUUUUUAAAUUUUAUGUGCAUUGGUGUUUUGCCUCCAUGUACGUCUUUGUAAGGGUGUUGAAUCUCCUGGAACUGGAAUCACAGAUGGUUGUGAGCUGCCUGUGGUUUCUGGGAAUUGAACCUAGGCCCUCUGGAAGAACAGCCAGUCAGUGCUCUUUACCCUUGAACCAUCUCUCCAGCCUUGGAUACAUCCAAGAAGUUUGAAGCUUGUUUUUAAACAUUUUAUAAAUGCAAUACAGUCCUAGCAUCUGUACUCUGUAGGAAACAACCUUAAAAAUAAGUUUGUAUUUAGCUGCAUGUCGUGGCAUAUAGUUUUAAUUCCAGCAUGCAGAAUGCAAUAGUGGGCACGUCUUCCAGUCCAGCCAGGGCUACCCUGUC
rnacentral:lncRNA from 1 species